rnacentral:rRNA from 1 species
AGUGAACGCUGGCGGUAGGCCUAACACAUGCAAGUCGAACGGCAGCACAGUAAGAGCUUGCUCUUACGGGUGGCGAGUGGCGGACGGGUGAGGAAUACAUCGGAAUCUACUUUUUCGUGGGGGAUAACGUAGGGAAACUUACGCUAAUACCGCAUACGACCUACGGGUGAAAGCAGGGGAUCUUAGGACCUUGCGCGAUUGAAUGAGCAGAUGUCGGAUUAGCUAGUUGGCGGGGUAAAGACCCACCAAGGCGACGAUCCGUAGCUGGUCUGAGAGGAUGAUCAGCCACACUGGAACUGAGACACGGUCCAGACUCCUACGGGAGGCAGCAGUGGGGAAUAUUGGACAAUGGGCGCAAGCCUGAUCCAGCCAUACCGCGUGGGUGAAGAAGGCCUUCGGGUUGUAAAGCCCUUUUGUUGGGAAAGAAAAGCAGCAGGUUAAUACCCCGCUGUUCUGACGGUACCCAAAGAAUAAGCACCGGCUAACUUCGUG